GAAGUCGUGGCCGAGUGGUUAAGGCGAUGGACUAGAAAUUAAUUAGGGUCUCCUCGCACAGGUUCGAAUCCUUUCGACUGCG
rfam:Ixodes scapularis strain Wikel colony gcontig_1108379177370, whole genome shotgun sequence.